UACGUGGGGGGCGAGCGUUGUCCGGAUUUAUUGGGCGUAAAGAGCUCGUAGGCGGUUUGGUAAGUUGGAUGUGAAAUCUCCAGGCUCAACUUGGAGGGGUCAUUCGAUACUGCCAUGACUAGAGUUCGGUAGGGGAGUGUGGAAUUCCUGGUGGAGCGGUGAAAUGCGCAGAUAUCAGGAGGAACACCCGUAGCGAAGGCGGCACUCUGGGCCGGAACUGACGCUGAGGAGCGAAAGCGUGGGGAGCGAACAGG
rnacentral:rRNA from 1 species